rnacentral:rRNA from 1 species
CCAGACUCCUACGGGAGGCAGCAGUGGGGACUCUUGCACAAUGGGCGCCCGCCUGAUGCCGCCCUGCCGCGUGUCUGCCGAAGGCCUUCGGGUUGUAAAGUCCUUUCAGCGGGGCGGCAGGCGAUAAGGUUACUAACCUUGUUGAUUGACGUUACCCGCAGAAGAAGCACCGGCUAACUCCGUGCCAGCAGCCGCGGUAAUACGGAGGGUGCAGGCGUUAACCGGAAUUACUGGGCGUAAAGCGCACGCAGGCGGUCUGGCAAGUCGGAUGUGAAAUCCCCGGGCUCAACCGGGGAACUGCAUUAGAAACUGGCAGGCUGGAGUCUUGUAGAGGGGGGUAGAAUUCCAGGUGUAGCGGUGAAAUGCGUAGAGAUCUGGAGGAAUACCGGUGGCGAAGGCGGCCCCCUGGACAAAGACUGACGCUCAGGUGCGAAAGCGUGGGGAGCAAACAGGAUUAGAUACCCCGGUA